rnacentral:rRNA from 1 species
AUUGAACGCUGGCGGCAGGCCUAACACAUGCAAGUCGAGCGGAUGAAGGGAGCUUGCUCCUGGUUUCAGCGGCGGACGGGUGAGUAAUGCCUAGGAAUCUGCCUGGUUGUGGGGGAUAACGACCGGAAACGGGCGCUAAUACCGCAUACGUCCUGAGGGAGAAAGUGGGGGAUCUUCGGACCUCACGCUAUCAGAGGAGCCUAGGUCGGAUUAGCUAGUUGGUGGGGUAAAGGCCUACCAAGGCGACGAUCCGUAACUGGUCUGAGAGGAUGAUUGGUCACACUGGAACUGAGACACGGUCCAGACUCCUACGGGAGGCAGCAGUGGGGAAUAUUGGACAAUGGGCGAAAGCCUGAUCCAGCCAUGCCGCGUGUGUGAAGAAGGUCUUCGGAUCGUAAAGCACUUUAAGUUGGGAGGAAGGGCAGUAAGUUAAUACCUUGCUGUUUUGACGUUACCAACAGAAUAAGCACCGGCUAACUACGUG